rnacentral:rRNA from 1 species
ACCUGGUUGAUCCUGCCAGAGGCGACCGCUAUUGGAGUUCGAUUAAGCCAUGCGAGUAGAAAGAAAUUAGAUUCUUUGCAUACUGCUCAGUAACACGUGGAUAACCUGCCCUACACUGGGGGAUAAUCUCGGGAAACUGAGCAUAAUACCCCAUAGACCACUACGCCUGGAACGGUGAGUGGUUCAAAGCUUCGGCGGUGUAGGAUGGGUCUGCGGCGUAUCAGGUCGUAGGGGGUGUAAUGGACCUCCUAGCCAUCGACGCGUACGGGUUGUGGGAGCAAUAGCCCGGAGACGGAUUCUGAGACACGAAACCGGACCCUACGGGGUGCAGCAGGCGCGAAAACUUCACACUGCAGGAAACUGUGAUGAGGGAACUCCAAGUGACUGCACAAUGUGUAGCCUUUUCAUGAAUCUUAAUAGUUCUUGGAAUAAGGGCUGGGAAAGACCGGUGCCAGCCGCCGCGGUAAUACCGGCAGCUCAAGUGGUCGUCGCUUUUAUUGGGCCUAAAACGUCCGUAGCCUGUUUGGUAAAUCUGUGGGUAAAUCAACGAGCUUAACUCGUUGAAUUCUGCAGAGACUGCCAGACUAGGGACCGGGAGAGGUAUGAGGUACUCUG